ensembl:lncRNA
AUGUUCCUGUCGUCGCUCAGUCAAGCCAAGUUCACGUUCCUGUCGUCGCUCAGUCAAGCCAAGUUCACGUUCCUGUCGCUGUUCAGUCGAACCCAGCUCACGUUCCUGUCGCUGCUCAGUCGAACCCGGCUCACGUUCCUGUCGCUGCUCAGUCGAACCCAGCUCACGUUCCUGUCGCCGCUCAGUCGGCCCCAGCUCACGUUCCUGUCGCUGCUCAGUCGAGUCAAGCUCACUCCCCUGUUGCCACUCAGGCAGAUCCAGUCCCUGCUCCAGACGCCGCUCAGGCAGAUCCAGCUCCUGUUCCAGACACCAGCUCAUCGGACCCAAGUCCAUGCCCACGCUACCGCCAUAGUUCCCCAGUCCAGUUCAGUCUGUACCGUGGCCCCGGCUCCUGCUUCAGCCCUGGCGGUUGAGGAGGUGAAGCCCACAGCUAGUCGUCGGAGGUCCAGACGGCGUCGACGACGGCCGGAUUCCCCUGUCCAGGCUCCAGAGGACUCGGCCACAGAAAUCAAGCGGCCCUCUCCGCCAGCAGAGGGCACUCUCGCUCCAUCAUACGACAUGCCCAUCUCCAUCGCAGGCAUCCCGGACAGCAUCUUCCGGCGGAUCCGUGCCCAAUGCGCCCCUCCGGUCCUGUUCCUGUUUGCACACUGGCUGAACUCCGCUGAGGCAGAGACCGACCCGGUAAUCAAGGAGCGUCACUUCCGUGAAGCCGCCCUGCUCAUCGCCCGGAAGCCUGCGCUGCGCGAGGCCCUGGGUUUCAUUGAACCCCCGUCAGAGCCUGCACCCGUUCCUGCAUCAGAGCCUGCACCCGUUCCUGCAUCAGAGCCUGCACCCGCUCCUGCAUCAGGGCCUGCACCCGCUCCUGCAUCAGAGCCUGCACCCGCUCCUGCAUCAGAGCCUGCACCCGCUCCAGCGUCUAAGCCUGCAUCACUGGCCCCAGCGUCUAAGCCUGCAUCACUGGCCCCAGCGUCUAAGCCUACAUCACUGGCCCCAGCGUCUAAGCCUACAUCACUGGCCCCAGCGUCUCUGGCUGCUUCACUGGCCCCAGCGUCUCUGGCUGCAUCACUGGCCCCAGCGUCUCUGGCUGCAUCACUGGCCCCAGCGUCUCCUGCGUCUCUGGCUGCAGCAACUCCCGCCCUAGCCUUACCUCAGUCAUGCCAAGCCUCAGCCCAGCCUGCAGCAGCUCAAGCCUCAGCCCAGCCUGCAGCAGCUCAAGCCUCAGCCCAGCCUGCGGCAGCUCAAGCCUCAGCCCAGCCUGCAGCAGCUCAAGCCUCAGCCCAGCCUGCGGCAGCUCAAGCCUCAGCCCAGCCUGCGGCAGCUCAAGCCUCAGCCCAGCCUGCAGCAGCUCAAGCCUCAGCUCAGCCUGCAGCAGCUCAAGCCUCAGCUCAGCCUGCAGCAGCUCAAGCCUCAGCUCAGCCUGCAGCAGUUCAAGCCUCAGCUCAGCCACGUCAAGCUCAAGCCUCAGCUCAGCCUCGUCAAGCUCAAGCCUCAGCUCAGUCACGUCAAGCUCAAGCCCCAGCUCAAGCUCAAGCCUCGGCUCCGCCACGCCAAACUCAAGCUCCAUCUUUACGCCAGCUAGCGGACACCCCUGGCCAGUCACACCAGGCCUCAGUUCCUGUUCCUGUCGGCCAUAUUGAGGCCGUUCCUGUUUCUGUCGGCCAUAUUGAGGCCGUCCCAGUCCCUGUUCUCGUCUGCCAUAUUGAGGCCGUCCCAGUCCCUGUUCUCGUCGGCCAUAUUGAGGCCGUUCCAGUCCCUGUUCCCGUCGGCCAUAUUGAGGCCGUUCCAGUCCCUGUUCCCGUUGGCCAUAUUGAGGCCGUUCCAGUCCCUGUUCCCGUCGGCCAUAUUGAGGCCGUUCUAGUUCCUGUCGGCUCCUCGGAGGAGGACGCCGUUCUAGUUCCUGUCGGCUCCUCGGAGGAGGACGCCGUUCUAGUUCCUGUCGGCUCCUCUGAGGAGGACGCCGUUCCAGUUCCUGUCGGCUCCUCUGAGGAGGACGCCGUUCCAGUUCCUGUCGGCUCCUCUGAGGAGGACGCCGUUCCAGUUCCUGUCGGCUCCUCGGAGGAGGACGCCGUUCUAGUCCCUGUCGGCUCCUCGGAGGAGGACGCCGUUCUAGUUCCUGCCACUGUCGGCUCCUCGGAGGCCGCAGUUCCCGACGAUCCCCAGGUGGGGGUCGCUCCCGCCGCAGCACCUGUGGCAGCCCCUGCCGACCUCCCGGAGGAGGUCGGUCCAGCUCUGUCUCCUGCCGACCUCCCGGAGGAGGUCGGUCCAGCUCUGUCUUCUGCCGACCUCCCGGAGGAGGUCGGUCCAGCUCUGUCUCCUGCCGACCUCCCGGAGGAGGUCGGUCCAGCUCUGUCUCCUGCCGACCUCCCGGGGGAGGUGGUCGGCCCGCUCCUGGUCCCUGUGGUUUUUGUGCCAAUGUGUGCAGGUGCAGUUCCUGGUGGUCCGGUCCCGGACACGCUCGUCUCUGCUCCUGGUGGCCCGGUCCCGGACACGCUCGCCUCAGCUCCUGGUGGUCCGGUCCCGGACACGUCUGUCUCCGCUCCUGGAGGCCCGGUGCCGGCCACGUCUGCAUCGGUUCCUGGUGGUCCGGCUCCGGCCACGUCACCACGUCUGUCUUCGCCUCUGGUUCCUGCCUCGUCUCCACGUCUGUCUUCGCCUCUGGUUCCUGCCUUGUCUCCACGUCUGUCCCCGUCGCUGUUCCCGGCUUUCCGCCGGCUCUCGCCUCACCUGCCUGACGGAGGGUCAGGUCCUUGGCGCAUCCUGUGGCGGGGAUGGCGCUGCCUCCUGCGUCGUCGGCCGCCUCGACUGGCCGGUUCCGGAUGUGACUCCCUGGCUGGAGGUCGCUGUUUACUGCCACGACGAUGGCGCGGCCUCUGCCGUUGCCGACCACCACGCCUCCUCAGCCCCCUAGAGCACCGCCGGGCUGGAGAGCACCAGCACAUGGGUUGGACCGCUGGAGGCGUCGUGUUUCGACGUCGGCCUCCUAGAACUCUAGCCUUGUCUUCGGGCAUAAGAUGUGCCGUCUCGGCCUGGCGGCUGCACGGCCGAGACUCUCCGCGCAUCCACCCUCCUUGA